rnacentral:rRNA from 1 species
AUUGAACGCUGGCGGCAGGCCUAACACAUGCAAGUCGAGCGGAGCCGGGGACGGGUGCGUAAUGCCUAGAUAUCUGCCUGGUAGUCGGGGAUAACGUCCGGAAACGGGCGCUAUUACCGCAAACUCUCGGAUGAGCCGAGGUCGGAUUAGCGAGUUGGUGGGGUAAAGGCCGACUAAGGCGACGAUCCGUAGCUGGUCUGAGAGGAUGAUCAGUCACACUGGAACUGAGACACGGUCCAGACUCCUACGGGAGGCAGCAGUGGGGAAUAUUGGACAAUGGGCGAAAGCCUGAUCCAGCCAUGCCGCGUGUGUGAAGAAGGUCUUCGGAUUGUAAAGCACUUUAAGUUGGGAGGCGUUACCAACAGAAGAAGCACCGGCUAACUUCGUGCCAGCCGCCGCGGUAAUAC